rnacentral:rRNA from 1 species
UACGGAAGGGGCAAGCGUUGUUCGGAAUUAUUGGGCGUAAAGGGCGUGUAGGCGGCUUCGCAGGUCUGUGGUGAAAGCAUACAGCUCAACUGUAUUGAGCCAUGGAAACGGCGGAGCUUGAGGCUGGGAGGGGCUGGUGGAAUUCCCUGUGUAGCGGUGAAAUGCGUAGAGAUGGGGGAGAACACUCGUGGCGAAGGCGGCCAGCUGGACCAGUUCUGACGCUGAGACGCGAAAGCGUGGGUAGCAAACAGG